AACUUUUGAGCUGCUCUUCUUGGACAAGCAGAAAAAAAUAAGUGGCUUUGGAAACAUUUUUAAGGUUGUCCCUGUGCCCUGGUGUGACAUCGUCAGGUGAGAGGGAGCUGGACCUAACUUCCUGAGGACAGAAGCAGAGCUGUGUCCCUGAUAGUGCUUAUCCAAGGCAGUUGUGUCUCUUAAGACAAGUUGGUUGGACACCUUCUCCUAGCACAUGGAAAAAAAAUUGAAACCUUAAGCUAGCCCCUGAGCUGACCUUUAAGUGUCAAAAGGAGUUCCCUUAUGGUGCUGUUAAACAAAUAGUGCCUGUUAAUGCAGAGGGUAACCUGGGUUUCAUUGAGGCUGGUCAUAGUUUUGAAAUGGGCACUYUGAGGAGGCUGUGGAUGUGUUGAGCUUUUCUGUAUCAGCAUAACCUGUAACCCCCAGGUGCAGAGGUAUUUGGGGUGGGAGGGGAGCGGAGGUGGGUGCAAGCAGUGGUAGCUCUAGGUGGUUGUACCUGACUGUUGAGUGCAGAGCACUGCAGUGUCCCAYGUGGAUGGGAGGGAGGCACUUGAGCAAAGCACCCUAGACCUGAGCUCCCUAGGAAGGAGAGUGAAAAGGUUUUAUGCAUGGGAGGGACUCUCUGUGCUGACUUUGUCUCCCUUGACAACUUAGUGAUGCUUUUUCUGAGCACUGGAAUAGAGACUGGGCUUCCUGAGAGCUGAAUUCACUGUGUCCAAGAGUCUUCAAGGAUGGCCAAGCCCUUAAAAGCCUGAGCAAGGAGGGGAAAAAUAAAGCACCACCAGGAAGUCAUGUACCCUUCUUUCCUAUUUCGUUGAAGAGACUGUACUCAAAUAAAGGCCCUAUUCCUUUUGAUCUUU